UACGAAGGGGGCUAGCGUUGCUCGGAAUCACUGGGCGUAAAGCGCACGUAGGCGGAUUGUUAAGUCAGGGGUGAAAUCCUGGAGCUCAACUCCAGAACUGCCUUUGAUACUGGGAGACUUGGAGUCCGGGAGAGGUGAGUGGAACUGCGAGUGUAGAGGUGAAAAUUCGUAGAUAUUCGCAAGAACACCAGUGGCGAAGGCGGCUCACUGGCCCGGUACUGACGCUGAGGUGCGAAAGCGUGGGGAGCAAACAGG
rnacentral:rRNA from 1 species